CAAAACAACAACCGGCUCUUUUAGCGUGGCACUGGGAGACCGACGUGCUCCACGAGAGGAUUAGCGCCAUAUGGUGGAGGACAACAGCCGUGGAUCUGUGGAGCCAUGGAAUCAAACCCACUAAAGGAACACAGCAGCAUGCAGUUAAUGGCAAAGCGUACAGCUUAAUUAAGGCCUAAUCAGGCCCUGCUAGCUGAUGGAGCUUCCAGGUGGCCGUGGGCCAGAGAGGAGAAGAAGUGGCUGCCAAGUUGCUGGGCACAGCAUGGCUGAACGUGUGUGGCCCGCAUCCCAUGUCUUUACACCCUAACUGGAUUUAACAGGCUGCCGAAGGAACCGCAUGGGGAUCUCAGACACCCAAACAAACAAAGUGGGCGCCCUCGCCAGGAGAAAUAAAACGCCAGAAGAUAAACAGACUGGAGCAGGAGAAGCAUGAUCAGAGCCGGUGUCUCCCCGUCUCAUGCCAAGGAGUGACUUAAGAAAACAAGACAGACCUGUCUGAUCAACAGUGUACAGAGCUAAUAGUCAAGAUCUCAUGGCAACCUGAAAACAUUAGCACGGGGGAACAUUCUUUGUGCUCUGAUUAAGUCUCCAUGUCUUCAUUUUCACACAUUCAUGAAGGACAUUCGCUCUGUUUUUGUGUGUGUGUGUUUGUGUGUGUGUGUGUGUAUUUGAGUGGGUGGGUGGGUGAUUUUAUUUGCUGCUUUCUUGUGAAAAAAGGAAAAUAACAUCUCAUGAAUUUCACACAUUACAUAAGUUUCUGGUCAAAGGCUGACUAGAAGGGGAAUAAAAUAAAAGCAUUAUAUUUUGUGCCUGUUGAGUUAUUACAGAUAGGGUUAUGAAACCAAAACGCAUGAUUUUAGCAGAAUAAUCCUGGCUGUUUUAUUUAUGCAAUCAGCUACCGAUUACAUGGCCACUGCUAAAAUACACAAGACACACAAACACACACACACACACACACAC